AUUGAACGCUGGCGGCAGGCCUAACACAUGCAAGUCGAACGAGUGGCGGACGGGUGAGUAAUGUCUGGGAAACUGCCCGAUGGAGGGGGAUAACUACUGGAAACGGUAGCUAAUACCGCAUACCAUCGGAUGUGCCCAGAUGGGAUUAGCUAGUAGGUGGGGGACCGGCUCACCUAGGCGACGCUCCCUAGCUGGUCUGAGAGGAUGACCAGCCACACUGGCACUGAUACACGGUCCAGACUCCUACGGUAGGCAGCAGUGGGUAAUUGUGCACAAUGGGCGCAAGCCUGAUGCAGCCAUGCCGCGUGUAUGAAGAAGGCCUUCGGGUUGUAAAGGACUUUCAGCGAGGAGGCGUUACUCGCAGAAGAAGCACCGGCUAACGCCGUGCCAGCAGCCGCGGUAAUUC
rnacentral:rRNA from 1 species